UACGGGGGGGGCAAGCGUUGUUCGGAAUUACUGGGCGUAAAGGGCGCGUAGGCGGUUCGCUAAGUUGAAUGUGAAAACUCUGGGCUUAACCCAGAGCCUGCAUCCAAAACUGGCGAACUGGAGUACUGGAGGGGAAAGCGGAAUUCCUGGUGUAGCGGUGAAAUGCGUAGAUAUCAGGAGGAACACCGGUGGCGAAGGCGGCUUUCUGGACAGUAACUGACGCUGAGGCGCGAAAGCUAGGGGAGCAAACAGG
rnacentral:rRNA from 2 species